rnacentral:rRNA from 1 species
AGCGAACGCUGGCGGCAGGCUUAACACAUGCAAGUCGAGCGGGCGUAGCAAUACGUCAGCGGCAGACGGGUGAGUAACGCGUGGGAACGUACCUUUUGGUUCGGAACAACCCAGGGAAACUUGGGCUAAUACCGGAUAAGCCCUUACGGGGAAAGAUUUAUCGCCGAAAGAUCGGCCCGCGUCUGAUUAGCUAGUUGGUGAGGUAACGGCUCACCAAGGCGACGAUCAGUAGCUGGUCUGAGAGGAUGAUCAGCCACAUUGGGACUGAGACACGGCCCAAACUCCUACGGGAGGCAGCAGUGGGGAAUAUUGGACAAUGGGCGCAAGCCUGAUCCAGCCAUGCCGCGCGAGUGAUGAAGGCCCUAGGGUUGUAAAGCUCUUUUGUGCGGGAAGAUAAUGACGGUACCGCAAGAAUAAGCCCCGGCUAACUUCGUGCCAGCAGCCGCAGU